rnacentral:rRNA from 1 species
AGUGAACGCUGGCGGUAGGCCUAACACAUGCAAGUCGAACGGCAGCACAGUAAGAGCUUGCUCUUACGGGUGGCGAGUGGCGGACGGGUGAGGAAUACAUCGGAAUCUACUUUUUCGUGGGGGAUAACGUAGGGAAACUUACGCUAAUACCGCAUACGACCUACGGGUGAAAGCAGGGGAUCUUCGGACCUUGCGCGAUUGCAUGAGCCGAUGUCGGAUUAGCUAGUUGGCGAGGUAAAGGCCCACCAAGGCGACGAUCCGUAGCUGGUCUGAGAGGAUGAUCAGCCACACUGGAACUGAGACACGGUCCAGACUCCUACGGGAGGCAGCAGUAGGGAAUAUUGGACAAUGGGCGCAAGCCUGAUCCAGCCAUACCGCGUGAGUGAAGAAGGCCUUCGGGUUGUAAAGCCCUUUUGUUGGGAAAGAAAAGCAGCAGGUUAAUACCCCGCUGUUCUGACGGUACCCAAAGAAUAAGCACCGGCUAACUUCGUG